rnacentral:rRNA from 1 species
UACAGAGGGUGCAAGCGUUAAUCGGAAUUACUGGGCGUAAAGCGCACGUAGGCGGUUGGUUAAGUUGGAUGUGAAAGCCCCGGGCUCAACCUGGGAAUUGCAUUCAAAACUGGCCAACUAGAAUACGGGAGAGGGGGGUAGAAUUCCAAGUGUAGCGGUGAAAUGCGUAGAGAUUUGGAGGAAUACCAGUGGCGAAGGCGGCCCCCUGGCCCGAUAUUGACGCUGAGGUGCGAAAGCGCGGGGAGCAAACAGG